rnacentral:rRNA from 1 species
CAAUAGCGUAUAUUAAAGUUGUUGCAGUUAAAAAGCUCGUAGUUGAAUUUCUGGCGGGCGCGCCGGUCUUCCAAGUGUUGUACUGGGCGCAGUCCGCCAUCCUUGUGGAGAGGGCUCGCAUUGAGUUGCGUGUCGGAUCUGCAUCAUUUACUGUGAAAAAAUUAGAGUGUUUAAAGCAGGCUGUCGCUUGAAUACAUUAGCAUGGAAUAAUAAGAUAGGACUUCGGUCUAUUUUGUUGGUUGCGAACCGAGGUAAUGAUUAAUAGGGAUAGUUGGGGGUAUUCAUAUUUAAUUGUCAGAGGUGAAAUUCUUGGAUUUAUGAAAGAUGAACAACUGCGAAAGCAUUUACCAAGGAUGUUUNCAUUAA